GGGAGUGCCUAGCUUCGACAAGCACAAAACUAAAAUAAGGCAGGUUCGGGCCGGUCAAAACCCGGAAAAAAUUUGACCAAAACAAAACGCCAAUAAUACGGCACAACCAGCUUACGCUUUUGCAUACGCUUAAGAUGUAAGCCAUCCGCUUUACCAACCGCCUGAUGGGUAAAAUACGGGUGUUAUAAUUUCAGGCCAGCCAAUUUUUGGGGCUGAACAAAAAUCGGCGGUUUUUCUCAGCCAAAGAAUAAAAGUUUUUGUCUGAUUCAUACUUUUAUUACUAAAACCAAUCAGAACAAACCUGUAGAAUUAUUUUGGAAUUAAUGCUUGGACAGGGGUGCAAUUCCCCUCACUUCCACUU
rnacentral:tmRNA from 1 species